rnacentral:rRNA from 1 species
UACGAGGGGGCGAGCGUUGUUCGGAAUUAUUGGGCGUAAAGGGUGCGUAGGCGGUUUGGUAAGUCUGAUGUGAAAUCUAUGGGCUACAACUCAUAGUCUGCAUCGGAAACCGCCGGGCUUGAGUGUGGGAGAGGUGAGUGGAAUUCCUGGUGUAGCGGUGAAAUGCGUAGAUAGUCAGGAGGAACACCUGUGGCGAAAGCGGCUCACUGGACCAUAACUGACGCUGAUGACACGAAAGCUAGGGGAGCAAACAGG